rnacentral:lncRNA from 1 species
GUGAGGACGAAACAAGGGGAAGCCCUAUGGAUGGAAGAAUGAGAAGGCUAAUAAGCAAGCUGAGACUGCACUCUUGAGGGAUAAAAUUGAUGACAUAGUGACGUGUAAUUUAGGAGGGGUGGCUUCCAAAUAAUUGGAAGCAAAGUUAAUUGGUCAUGGCUGAGAAAGCAAGAACACAAACUGUUAAGGUGGCAAGCAAACCGGGAAGUUGAGGAUCGCAAGACGGCCAUUUAAGGAGAGGAGAAUCCUUCUAGAGGAGAGCAAGGUGACAACAGAGAUGCUUGUUGAGGAGAACGUGAUGAUAAUGGAUCUGAGAGGAAUGAACCAAUCGGCAAGAGGGUGGUGUGAGUUAAAAAAGAGCUG